CCUACGGGGGGCAGCAGUGAGGAAUAUUGGUCAAUGGGCGCGAGCCUGAACCAGCCAAGUCGCGUGAGGGAUGACGGUCCUACGGAUUGUAAACCUCGUUUGCCGGGGAGCAAGCGUGCGUUCGUGAACGCGCGUCGAGAGUACCCGGAGAAAAAGCAUCGGCUAACUCCGUGCCAGCAGCCGCGGUAAUACGGAGGAUGCGAGCGUUAUCCGGAUUUAUUGGGUUUAAAGGGUGCGUAGGCGGCAUUAUAAGUUAGUGGUAAAAUAUUGGGGCUUCACCUCACUACGCCAUUAAUACUGUAGAG
rnacentral:rRNA from 1 species